rnacentral:rRNA from 1 species
UACGUAGGGUGCAAGCAUUGUCCGGAAUUAUUGGGCGUAAAGGGCACGUAAGCGAUCCAUCGCGUCAGGAGUGAAAAGCUGGGGCUUAACCCCAGUCCUGCUUCCGAUACGGGUGGACUAGAGGUAGGCAGGGGAGAACGGAAUUCCUGGUGUAGCGGUGAAAUGCGCAGAUAUCAGGAGGAACACCGGUGGCGAAGGCGAUUCUCUGGACCUUACCUGACGCUGAAGAGCGAAAGCAUGAAAAGCAAACAGG